GAUGAACGCUGGCGGCGUGCCUAAUACAUGCAAGUCGAGCGAACAGACGAGGAGCUUGCUCCUCUGACGUUAGCGGCGGACGGGUGAGUAACACGUGGAUAACCUACCUAUAAGACUGGGAUAACUUCGGGAAACCGGAGCUAAUACCGGAUAAUAUAUUGAACCGCAUGGUUCAAUAGUGAAAGACGGUUUUGCUGUCACUUAUAGAUGGAUCCGCGCCGCAUUAGCUAGUUGGUAAGGUAACGGCUUACCAAGGCAACGAUGCGUAGCCGACCUGAGAGGGUGAUCGGCCACCCUGGAACUGAGACACGGUCCAGACUCCUACGGGAGGCAGCAGUAGGGAAUCUUCCGCAAUGGGCGAAAGCCUGACGGAGCAACGCCGCGUGAGUGAUGAAGGUCUUCGGAUCGUAAAACUCUGUUAUUAGGGAAGAACAAAUGUGUAAGUAACUAUGCCCGUCUUGACGGUACCUAAUCAGAAAGCCACGGCUAACUACGUG
rnacentral:rRNA from 1 species